UACGUAGGGUGCAAGCGUUGUCCGGAAUUAUUGGGCGUAAAGAGCUCGUAGGCGGUCUGUCGCGUCGGCUGUGAAAUCCCGAGGCUCAACCUCGGGUCUGCAGUCGAUACGGGCAAACUGGAGUGUUGCAGGGGAGAAUGGAAUUCCUGGUGUAGCGGUGGAAUGCGCAGAUAUCAGGAGGAACACCGAUGGCGAAGGCAGUUCUCUGGGCCGUAACUGACGCUGAGGAGCGAAAGCGUGGGGAGCGAACAGG
rnacentral:rRNA from 1 species